rnacentral:lncRNA from 1 species
GGGGAAGAGAGGCUGAAGGGAGGGUUGGUGGGGAUUUAGGAAAAAAGAAGAAUCAGAGCAUAUUCUGUGCAGAUACAAAUUCCCUAUGAUGAAUAUGAUCAUUAUGUAUAUCUAAGAUGUAUCAAUAAAAUUAAUUAAAAAAAGAAAACUCACACCAUUUAUCUUUCCUCUCAGUCAUGGUUAAGUGUGCAUGGAACAUUUUUCUAUUGCCUUAUGCAGUCCUCCUUGGUACAUUACCUGGCUACUCUACAUUGGAUUUUGCAUGUUAAAUGCAACCUACUCAUCUCAGCUGCAGGAAGAUUUCAAUGCAAUACUUCUACAAGAACAGUAAUUACAGCGAUUAUCAUGAAAUUCCUACAAUGAACUUCACAGCCUAAAAGGAGC